rnacentral:rRNA from 1 species
UCAAGCGAAUAUAGGUCUAUGGCGGAUGCCUGUUAUGGAGACGCGAGACGAAGAAGGUCGUGAUAAGCUGCGAAAAGCCUUGUGGAGGAGCACAUAUCCGGAGAUACAGGGAUAACCGAAUGGGGUAACCCGCAUACAGUGAUGUAUGCACUGCGACGACUGAAUAAAAUAGGUCGGCAGGGAGAAACUGUGUGAAGUGAACCAUCUAAGUAACACGGGAAAAGAAAUCAAAAGAGAUUCCGUAAGUAGCGGCGAGCGAAAGCGGAGGAGCCUAAACCGCAAAGAGCGGGGUUGUAGGGCCGCAUGGGGAUGACCCGCAGAGUUAGGGAUAAAACUUCUUUAUAGCGGAAAGAUUUGGGAAAGUCUGACGAAGAGCGUGAAAUCCGCGUACGCGAAAUGAAGGAGACUCUGUGAUGCGGUACCUGAGUACGGCGGGGCACGAGGAACCCUGUCGGAAUCUGGGUCGACCACGAUCCAAGGCUAAAUACUUACUAUCUACCGAUAGCGAACAAGUACCGUGAGGGAAAGGCGAAAAGAACCCUGUUGAAGGGAGUGAAAUAGAACCUGAAACCACAGACUAACAAGAUGUCACAGCCUGCGAGGGUAGUGGCGUGUCUUUUGUAGAAUAAACCUGCGAGUUGCGGUAUGCAGCGAGGCUAAGGAAUGGGAGUUCCGGAGCCGGAGGGAAACCGAGUCUGAAUAGGGCGAGUAGUUGCAUGCAGCAGACCCGAAGCCAAGGUGAUCUAAUCAUGGGCAGGCUGAAGGCAGGGUGAAACCUGUUGGAGGGCCGAACAGUAAUCUGUUAAAAAAGGUAGUGAUGACCUGUGAUUAGGAGUGAAAGGCUAAACAAACCUGGAGAUAGCUGGCUCUCCCCGAAAUGCCUUUAGGGACAGCCUCAUACAAAGCUUUAGGAGGUAAAGCACUGGCUGGUCUAGGGGGUGUCAAAGCCUACCGAAACCAAUCAAACUCUGAAUGCCGUAAGCCAACAUAUGGGAGUGAGACUGUGUGCGCCAAGGUUCAUAGUCGAAAGGGAAACAGCCCAGACCGUCGGUUAAGGUCCCGAAAUAACGCUAAGUGUGAAAUGAAGUGCGGAUGCACGGACAGCCAGGAGGUUGGCUCAGAAGCAGCCAUUCCUUAAAAGAGUGCGUAACAGCUCACUGGUCGAGCAUCCGUGCGCAGACAAUGUAGCGGGGCUAAGCGUUAUACCGAAACUGCGGAUUCGUACUGUAAGGUACGGAUGGUAGGGGAGCAUUCCAUGAACUGAAGAAGAAGUACCUGUGAGGGGCUUUGGAGGGGAUGGAAGAGAGAAUGCAGGCAUAAGUAACGAAAAGACGGGUGCGAUCCCCGUCCGCCGAAAACCUAAGGUUUCCAGGGUAAAGGCAAUCUGCCCUGGGUAAGUCGGCCCCUAAGGUCAGGGAGAGAUCCGUAGCCGAUGGGAAUCCGGUUCAGAUUCCGGAACCUCGAUCAUAAGCGAAGCCGUGACGCAUGAGGUGAAAUCCUGCCGGAGAAUGGUAGUUCCGGUCGAAGCUUGCAAGCUGUUGAGGGAGGGGUUAAAUGACCUCCUGAGGUGAGCGGUGACAGGGAGGCGAGAGGAAACUUAAGCCGAAGAGGAAGUAAUCAAGGUGACGAGAAAUAGCGGCUGGCAGAGAUGAUUGGGACCGUACCGUAAACGGACACACGUAGGUGGGAUGAGAAAUCUAAGGCGCACGAGCGACCUCGCGUUAAGGAACUCGGCAAAAUGCACACGUAACUUCGGAAGAAGUGUGGCUCAUGUUUGAAAGGAUAAUGAGCGGCAGAAAGCAGGCCCAGGCGACUGUUUAUCAAAAACACAGCCAUCUGCGAACCAGUGAUGGGACGUAUAGGUGGUGACACCUGCCCGGUGCCGGAAGGUUAAGGGGAGGGGUUAGCAGUAAUGCGAAGCUCCGAACUGAAGCCCCGGUAAACGGCGGCCGUAACUAUAACGGUCCUAAGGUAGCGAAAUUCCUUGUCGGGUAAGUUCCGACCCGCACGAAUGGUGUAACGAUUCUGGGCACUGUCUCAACGCGAGACUCGGUGAAAUUUAUAUACCGGUAAAGAAGCCGGUUACCCAUAGUUAGACGGUAAGACCCCGUGAACCUUCACCGUAACUUACUAUUGGGACUUGGUUUAUCAUGUGUAGAAUAGGUGGGAAACUGUGAAGCUUGCUCGUUAGGGUGAGUGGAGUUGAAAGGUGAAAUACCACCCUUGAUGAAUUAGGUUUCUAACCUGUUCCGUGAAGCCGGAAUGGGAACAGUGGUAGGCAGGCGGUUUGACUGGGGCGGUCGCCUCCUAAAGAGUAACGGAGGUGCGCGAAGGUCUCCUCACGUCGGUUGGAAAUCGACGCAGUGAGUGUAAAGGCACAAGGAGGCUUAACUGCAAGAGUGACAGCUCAAGCAGAUACGAAAGUAGGUCUUAGUGAUCUGGCGGUAGCGAGUGGAAGCGCCGUCACUUAACGGAUAAAAGGUACUCCGGGGAUAACAGGCUGAUUUUCCCCAAGAGUUCACAUCGACGGGAAAGUUUGGCACCUCGAUGUCGGCUCAUCGCAUCCUGGGGCUGGAGCAGGUCCCAAGGGUUUGGCUGUUCGCCAAUUAAAGCGGUACGUGAGCUGGGUUCAGAACGUCGCGAGACAGUUCGGUCCCUAUCUGCUAUGGGCGUUGGAUAUGUGAGAGGAGCUGCUUUUAGUACGAGAGGACCGAAGUGGACGAACCUCUGGUGUACCAGUUAUCCUGCCAAGGGUAAGUGCUGGGUAGCUAUCGUUCGGAAGGGAUAACCGCUGAAGGCAUCUAAGCGGGAAGCCCGCCUCAAGAUUACAUAUCCCUCGGGGUUUAACCCCGCUAAAGACUCCUUGCACACUACAAGGUUGAUAGGUUGCAGGUCUAAGCACAGUAAUGUGUUCUAGCCGAGCAAUACUAAUAAGUCGUGAGGCUUGACCAU